AACCUGCUAGCAUCCUCCAGAGUAUCUCCAGGAAAUGGACACCGAAGAAUUUCUUUGCAACAAGAAACUAUUUGAGCUCUACUGGCUGUUUCUACCUGAAUGAGUUGGAUACUCUCAGCCUGGGAGUGGAGAAUACAAUCUUCUUAGAUCAUGUUUAUGUCAAACUCAGCAUCCUACAGCAAGAACACACAUGGGAAAAUAAUUCCCCUUGUGUAUGCACAUAUAUAUGAAGAAUUUUCUUCGUGUGUGUGUGUGUGUGUAUAUAUAGUAUAUAUGCACAUAUACACAUAUAUUAGUAUACAUCAAGAAAGACGGAGACAGAAUGAAGAACUUUCUUUGUUAGGUAAUUUAGCAAUGUCAGUAAUAGCUUGCUAGUUAGUUAUUCCCACUCAGUCUUCGGGUGGGGCAAGAAUGAGGUCAGCCUCUUCUGUUUUAGGCAGAAUUCUAGAACAUGCAACAAAAGGAAACUGCUUGGCCCCAUCCCACCUCUAGAGAUUUGUCCUCUCCAAGGCCUGCCUAUAAAUCUCCCAGGGUGGGGAUCCAGGAGCAUGGUGCCCCGGCAAGCCAAGCUUGAACCUCCCAAGCAAAUCAGCGUUGGAAUGUUGGUGGGGUCACAGGAUCAAGAGCCAUCUGGGAGCCAGCUGUGACUUGGGCUGAUUCCCAUGGUUUCCUAUGAGAAGGGCGAGUGUGAUCACUACAGCAGAAAUACCAAAGAAAAAUGGCAAUUGUUACCUCCCGAGCAAAGAACAAGGCCUAGAGCAGAGCCGGUUCCUACAGAGAAUGACAGAUCGGAAUAUGCUGGCGAAGGCCAGGCAAGUUCUGUGCUUCCUAACCAGUUAGAAGCCCUUCCUCCCGCGGUGGCCGAGCUGGGAUCCAGAGCUUGGGAAGUGUGGGACCUGCCUCUCUGAGACCUGGCUGUCAGCAGGAGGAUGAGGAGCCAAACACGUCCCAUUGUUACCACCCACCCUCUGGGGCUUGCAGGGAAACUGCACUCCUGGCCGAACGAGAAAUAUAAACCCUUGCCAUCUUCUCUUUCCGGGGACAAAGGCACCACAGAUUUUUAGUGUUUCAUCGUGCUUUUGGAACGAAUGUCAACCAAAUGCCAUCUUUUAGGGACAGCAGCUAAAACGCCUGUUCAACUGGAGUUCUUUAGUCAAAUGUCCGUUACAUUCAGUGAUCUGAGGUCUUAAAUUACUUAGGCUCAGGGAGUGAUAUUAGAAAAAAAAAAAAGUGGCUGGGUGCAGUGGCUCAUGCCUAUAAUCGCAGCACUUUGGGAGGCUGCGGUGGGCAGAUCACAAGGUCAGGAGUUCGAGGCCAGCCUGGCCAACAUGGUGAAACCCUGUCUCUAAAAAUACAAAAAUUACCUGGACACGGUGGUGCAUGCCUGUAAUCUCAGCUACUCAGGAGGCUGAGGCAGGAGAAUCACUUGAACCCAGGAGGUGGAGGUUCCAAUGAGCUGAGAUCAUGCCAUUGUACUCCAGCCUGGGCAACAAGAGCAAGACUCUGCCAAAAAAAAAAAAAAAAAA
rnacentral:lncRNA from 1 species